rnacentral:rRNA from 1 species
UACGUAGGUGGCAAGCGUUGUCCGGAAUUAUUGGGCGUAAAGCGCGCGCAGGCGGUCUUUUAAGUCUGGUGUAUAAGUGCGGGGCUCAACCCCGUGAGGCACCGGAAACUGGGAGACUUGAGUGCAGAAGAGGAGAGCGGAAUUCCACGUGUAGCGGUGAAAUGCGUAGAUAUCGAGAGGAACACCUGCGGCGAAGGCGGGUUGCUGGGCUGACACUGACGCUGAUGCGCGAAAGCCAGGGGAGCGAACGGG